UUAUCAAGUACAAGCCAUUGGAAGGUGGUUCAAGGUGAGGGUCUUUAGUGUUUGAAGCCAUUAAUGGGAAGCAACUACCAUUUUUCAAGAACCCUUUGGAUCAAAACUUAUUUGCUAAAUACAAAUCCGGUUUGGGAGAUAACCAUCCUUUAUGUUAUUGUCCCCAAUGCGAGGAGAAGAUCUGGAAUUUCCCACUUUGCAACAGGAAC
rnacentral:lncRNA from 1 species